UAGGGAAUCUUCCACAAUGGACGCAAGUCUGAUGGAGCAACGCCGCGUGAGUGAAGAAGGUUUUCGGAUCGUAAAGCUCUGUUGUUGGUGAAGAAGGAUAGAGGCAGUAACUGGUCUUUAUUUGACGGUAAUCAACCAGAAAGUCACGGCUAACUACGUGCCAGCAGCCGCGGUAAUACGUAGGUGGCAAGCGUUGUCCGGAUUUAUUGGGCGUAAAGCGAGCGCAGGCGGAAUGAUAAGUCUGAUGUGAAAGCCCACGGCUCAACCGUGGGACUGCAUCGGAAACUGUCAUUCUUGAGUGCAGAAGAGGAGAGUGGAAUUCCAGGUGUAGCGGUGGAAUGCGUAGAUAUAUGGAAGAACACCAGUGGCGAAGGCGGCUCUCUGGUCUGCAACUGACGCUGAGGCUCGAAAGCAUGGGUAGCGAAAAGG
rnacentral:rRNA from 1 species